UAACGGUUUGAGUUAUUCCGUUAUAUUUGUGCGUUAUCUAUUAGAUACAUACAUAACGGUAUUACAAAACCGUUAAGCCGACCGUUAUCUAUGAGCAUCUUUUUAUAGAAUUUUAAAAAUUAAAAGAAAAAAAAAAUCAAAAAAUUGGCUUCUUCUUCCCCAAAUUGGCUUCGACACCUCCACUUUCCCCAAAAACUUAAAGAAAAACAGGGCUUCUGCAAUUCUUCUUCUCCAUCCGCCUUCUUCUCCAUCCGCCUUCUUCUUCGCCUCUCCUCCCCCCAUCCGCCUUCUUCUUCCCCAAAUCGACCCCUCUGCCAUAUACCAACUCUGUUCGCCCCGAUUCUCCACCAAGUCCCGACUUCGAACCAUGCCGAUGCUCCAGCGCGGCGCACACUUCGGCGACCCGGAUCGACGCCUCCUUCACCAACUCCAGCGCGGCGCACGCUUCGGCGACCCGGAUCGAACCAAGUCCCAGCUUCGAACCCUAGGUUGUCGCAGGUUGCCUGUCAUCGAAGCCUCUCAGGAAAGCCAACUUUCCCCUCACGACCUAUCUCGAGCUCCUCUCUUUUUUCCCCAAAUUCAGAACCCUAGGUCGUUUGUCGCCACCUCCACCGCUUCCAUCGGUAGUCACCUCCCUCGCACUGAAAUACUCCGAUUUUAAUGGCAGCGACCCUCUCUCUCUCAGAUAAUAUGCACAAAUUGGGCACAACUUUAUCUUUCUAGGGUUCUAAAUUGCUCCGGUAACGACAGUUCUCUCCAACUCCAGUAAGUCCUGAACUCUGCACUUCUCUACUCUGGGUUCGAAUUUUUAAAUUCUCGAGCAAUUUUGUAAGUUAUGCAUACUUAGUAAGUUCUAGUUCUCUUCUUCGGAGAACGGGGUGUUGCAGUUGAUUGAUUCUUGUAGUCCGACUUAAUUCAAUUGCUUCUUGCACUGUAGUUAUUGAAUUCGCGGGGGAUUCUGAAUUCUUGAUUGCUCCGGGUCCGAAUUGUUAUGACAGUUUUCUUAGGUGGUAAGCUUUGCUUAAUUGAAUAUUAGGCAUGGUGGAUGCUCACAAUGAAAUCAUGUCUUGUAUUCCUGUGCUCUAAGACCUAAAUUUGAAACUGAUCGUGUAUUGUUAGGCUGAUGCUGGAGGUUCACCCUCACUUGUUGCUCGAGGAUUCAGCACUGUUCAGGCUGCUAGUGGUGGUGAGCAACUUGAAAUUCAAGUUCCAGUUGAAAGAAUUGUGUUGUUAUCAAAAAGCUUGAAGCAGCUUCAUCGAAGAUAUUUGGUGGGGAUAGAUCUAAGAUCAAGAAAAUUGAAGAGCUGCGAGACAAUAUCAGAGUAAUACAAACGAAUAAAGGGAUACACACAUAAGUUUGAGAUUGCAGAGACAUGUUUUGGAGAGAUGGGGAGCCAUUUAGGAUAAUUGGAGGAGACUUGCAUUAUUUCCGAGUGCAUCUUGAGGUUUGUGGUGGAUUAAAUGAGUCGUACGUUGAGCUGAAGAGGCUUGUGAAUUCACAAGAAAAGUUGUACCAUAUGGCUAGCUAGUUGCAUAUUUAAUAUGUUUAGUAUUUUUGUAAGGCAUAAUAGUAUAGAUAGAGCAGUUGUUGAAUUUUGACUAUAUUCAAAUCUUGUA